CAGCAGCCGCGGUAAUACGUAGGAGGCAAGCGUUAUCCGGAUUCACUGGGCGUAAAGCGCGUGCAGGCGGUGCGGUAAGUUGGGCGUGAAAGCUCCCGGCUCAACUGGGAGAGGUCGUCCAAUACUACCGUACUAGAGAGCAGAAGAGGAAGAUGGAAUUCCCGGUGUAGUGGUGAAAUGCGUAGAUAUCGGGAGGAACACCAGUGGCGAAGGCGAUCUUCUGGUCUGUUUCUGACGCUCAGACGCGACAGCUAGGGUAGUAAACGGGAUUAGAGACCCCGGUAAUCCUAGCCGUAAACGAUGUGAACUUGGCGUUGGUGGGUUAAACUCCAUCAGUGCCGUAGCAAACGCGAUAAGUUCACCGCCUGGGGACUACGGCCGCAAGGUUAAAACUCAAAGGAAUUGACGG
rnacentral:rRNA from 1 species